UACGGGGGGGGCAAGCGUUGUUCGGAAUUACUGGGCGUAAAGGGCUCGUAGGCGGCCAACUAAGUCAGACGUGAAAUCCCUCGGCUUAACCGGGGAACUGCAUCUGAUACUGGAUGGCUUGAGUUCGGGAGAGGGAUGCGGAAUUCCAGGUGUAGCGGUGAAAUGCGUAGAUAUCUGGAGGAACACCGGUGGCGAAGGCGGCAUCCUGGACCGACACUGACGCUGAGGAGCGAAAUCCAGGGGAGCAAACGGG
rnacentral:rRNA from 1 species